AUUGAACGCUGGCGGCAUGCCUUACACAUGCAAGUCGAACGGCAGCAUGGGUGCUUGCACCUGAUGGCGAGUGGCGAACGGGUGAGUAAUGCAUCGGAACGUACCCGGAAGUGGGGGAUAACGCAGCGAAAGCUGUGCUAAUACCGCAUACGCCCUGGGGGGGAAAGCGGGGGAUCGAAAGACCUCGCGCGAUUAGAGCGGCCGAUGCCUGAUUAGCUUGUUGGGGGGGUAAAAGCCCCCAAGGGCGACGAUCAGUAGCUGGUCUGAGAGGAGGACAAGCCACAUUGGGACUGGAACACGGCCCAAACGCCUACGGGAGGAAGCAGUGGGGAAUUUUGGAAAAUGGGGGAAACCCUGAUCCAGCAAUGCCGCGUGAGUGAAGAAGGCCUUCGGGUUGUAAAGCUCUUUUGUCAGGGAAGAAACACCGGCUCUAACACAGUCCGGGAAUGACGGUACCUGAAGAAUAAGCACCGGCUAACUACGUGCCAGCCGCCGCCGUAA
rnacentral:rRNA from 1 species